GACGAACGCUGGCGGCGUGCUUAACACAUGCAAGUCGAACGGAAAGGCCCUGCUUUUGUGGGGUGCUCGAGUGGCGAACGGGUGAGUAACACGUGAGUAACCUGCCCUUGACUUUGGGAUAACUUCAGGAAACUGGGGCUAAUACCGGAUAGGAGCUCCUGCUGCAUGGUGGGGGUUGGAAAGUUUCGGCGGUUGGGGAUGGACUCGCGGCUUAUCAGCUUGUUGGUGGGGUAGUGGCUUACCAAGGCUUUGACGGGUAGCCGGCCUGAGAGGGUGACCGGCCACAUUGGGACUGAGAUACGGCCCAGAGUCCUACGGGAGGCAGCAGUGGGGAAUAUUGUACAAUGGGCGGAAGCCUGAUGCAGCAACGCCGCGUGCGGGAUGACGGCCUUCGGGUAGUAAACCGCUUUCGCCUGUGACGAAGCGUGAGUGACGGUAAUGGGUAAAGAAGCACCGGCUAACUACGUG
rnacentral:rRNA from 1 species